CGAAAGCCUGACGGAGCAACGCCGCGUGAGGGAUGAAGGCCUCUGGUCUGUAAACCUCUUUUCUCAAGGAGGAAGAUCUGACGGUACUUGAGGAAUAAGCCACGGCUAAUUCCGUGCCAGCAGCCGCGGUAAUACGGGAGUGGCAAGCGUUUACCGGAAUUAUUGGGCUUAAAGCGUCCGCAGCGGCCUCGUAAGUCUGUCGUUAAAGCGUGGAGCUUAACUCCAUUUCAGCGAUGGAAACUACAAGGCUUGAGUGUGUUAGGGUCAGAGGGAAUUCCCGGUGUAGCGGUGAAAUGCGUAGAUAUCGGGAAGAACACCAGUGGCGAAGGCGCUCUGUUGGGCCAUAACUGACGCUCAUGGACGAAAGCCAGGGGAGCA
rnacentral:rRNA from 1 species